rnacentral:tRNA from 2 species
GACCGCUUAGCUCAACGGUGGAGCGCUUCGUUUACAUCGAAGAGGUUGAAGGUUCAAAUCCUUCAGCGGUCACUA